UGUCCCCAAGUACACUGGACCCAGCCCGACUCACAAGGCUCCCCAACACGGAGCAGCUCACACAGCAACGCUGUCAGCUGGAUGCUGCUCCGGGCAAAGGGGCAUUCAUGCUUGUCCUCUCGGCUACUGUUCUCCAACACAAACUAUGGCAGUGGGAACAGAGAAUGGUAACAGGAUCUCCAUGCAGACCCUGAUGAAGCUGAGCUGCUGCCAUCCUCCUGCCCCAGCCUGUUACUGACCCGACUGUAUGCACUUGGUGCAUGUCUGGAGAAGUAGAGCAUAUUGUCCAGGGCCAGCAGGCCGGGGGGCACACGCUCCAGGUCCUGGGCUGGGUUGCUGUUCUACAGACGAGAGGGCAGGCAGCUCAGGAAGGGGCCCGAGCCCUAGAAUAACUGUAGCCUGGAUGGAGGCUUGGGUGGAAACUAAGGUAGGGUAACUCACAGAGAAGCCUAACUUGCGGAACUCUCGGACACAGAGAGACCGGCGGCGGUCUGCACUGAGCCCUGUGCCCAAGGACUCCCCCUCUGGUUCAAAGGCUGCCUGGCGCAGAGCCUGCAGCUGGUCCCGCUGUUCCUGGAGGUCAUGGUAAGGGGCAUGUCAAGAUCAUAGAUCCAAAGCAAAAUUCUAGGUAGCCCUGCAGCCUUUGUCCCCUCGCACCUGGCUGUAGGGAUCAAGUGGUGUCCGCAUCCGUGGCUCCAGCAGCCCUAGGGUAAGAGCCUGCAGCACAUACAAGUGAUGAGCCAUCUCGUCACCCAUGGGUGUUGCACUGUGGAUGAUGUUCUGGAAGACAACAAGGCUUGGGUGAGACUCCCAGGGGAAGGAAGACUGGGGAGAGGGUCUCCUUGGCCUGGUCCAUCCUACCUUGUAGAUGAACUGGCGAAGAUUCUUCUUCCAUAGGUGGUCAAGCAUUUCCUACAGUGGGUGAGAAGGGUUCAGAUGAUUUUUUGCUCUAAGUUGGAGCACAGCACACACUAGCUGCUGAUCUUCAUUUAGUCACCGUGGACUCGCCUUGCGUUCAGUGGGGCUGGCUCCCUGCAGCAGGGCCGUCAACAGAGCCAUGGCCUUGGUUUGCAGCUGGUGGUUCAUUCUACGGCAAGAGGAAGAACAGGCCCAGAUCUCCACCUGGAGCCCAGCACUGCUUCCCCCCCCCCCCCCCCCGUUCACACAGUACCCUAGAGGCUUACACUUGCAGGUGCACCAGCAGCCUAUCCAGUGGCACCUCACUCUUCACCAGCUGGCCCAGGGCAGGACUGCUCAAGGUCACACUCUCCAGCAGUCUCAGAGCCAGGGGCUGGACAGAGGCAUCCAUCAGGUUCAUGUUCACAUAAGAUAUCACCUAUAAGGGAUGGAUAGAGGCUGUCAUUGUCAUUCAUGAGGGCUAAAUGCUGGUACUGCCCCAUUGCCCCUGGACAAGGACACACCUUCCUGACAAAGGAGAUGCUGAGUGUCUCCCAGGACACUACACCGUGUUCCAUGAGCUCCAAGAAAGCCCUUAGACCAAGGGCCAGCAUCUCCCCUAGGCUACAGAGAACAUCUGGGGAUGAGUAGGAUCAGAGCAAGAUUUCCAAGCCCUACCACGUCCUCCAGUCCACCUGGGCCCUGUGCUCACUCAUCCCCAUUUUCAAUGAUGGUGCUUAGUUUCUGAAGCCCAUCACGACUGAUGACCUCCUGGGCAAAGGUCAUGUCUGAGGCCAGCAGGACCAGGUUUCUCAGGACUUCACAGCACCCUUCACGACUUGUAUUCUGCAGUCUACCCAGUAGCUGCUGGGCCUUCAGAUCCUGCCAGGAGCAGUAGAGGAAAGAUGGAUGUGGUUAGAGAAUGUUACCCCUACAACUGGAGCUGUGAUGGUCUGGGUGCCCACUAGGUAGGGCACUAAGGAGCUGGGGCCUCCGAACCAGCUGCAGAGGGGGAGGAAGGGAGAGGAGAGGGCUGAAGGGAACAUUACUGGGGCAGUGCUGAGACACAGGAUGCUUCCAUUCUUGAUCUCCAAGCGGUUCUGGAGGGAACAGCAGAAAGGAGCACAGUUAAGGAGGGCUCUGUGAAAUAGUCACCCGGCUCAUCCACUGGUGGGGUUGGGGUUGUCAGUACAAGAGCUCACAUUCAGAGCAGGGAGAAUGAAACCAUGGAAUCGAAACCAGGUGGGUUAAAGGGAUCCUGAGGAAUGUGGGGCUAGGAGGGGGGCUCACAUUCUCUGUGAUGUAUUUCCUGUGCCCAUCAGCAAACUGCAGGGCAUAGUGCUCCGGAUGAGUCAGGCUCCACCUGUGUUGGGGGGGGGGGGGCGGGCAGGAAGCUGCCAGGGACGUCCAGGAGCGCCUCUCCCACCUGCCCCUCCCCCACUUUGCCCAGGCUUGCGGCACAGCACUUACGCGUCACACACCUCCUUCAGUACAGUGGCCAGGGGCUUUGCCUGUAAGUGGAGUUGUCACUCAAGUUGCGACGGUAAAGAGUUGGGGUGAGGGACUUCUGGGAGGGGUGGGCUGGGCUGGCCAGAGGGAAAAGGAACAACCCAGAAGCGAGAGGCGGAGUUUGGACAGUCCCAUUGACCUGGUCUAGCUGGAUAAGCUGUGGGAUGGCGUCAGACAUCUGAACAGCAAUCUUCACCACAUUCCGCGGGGGCGCCAUAGUCCAGCCGCGGUGGCCGCUGGCACUUGGCACUAAUGUGCCACCUCCCGCCGAGAGUGCACCCGGUCUAGGGUCUAGGACUUGUAGCCUGCACUCACAGCCCAGGUUCCCACUCCUGAUCGGGCUCCGAGGCCUUCCCAAAGGAGCCUGUUAGUUCCGGGUUAAUCUCAGGGGUAGGAGGGUAAGACCCCGCCUGCCCUGCCCUGCUCCGCCCCGUAGAGGCCUGCCUGGCCCCGCCCCACACCAAGGUGCAGCAGGUAGAGGCUGUGGCAGCAGGCUUCCUACACAGCAGCCACACCUCCCAUUCCAGUAAGGUGACCCACCCAGUCUCAGCAACAAUCCAGCGUCCCAGGUAGGGGCCCCAAAGAACCAGAUCAGAGAUAGCCUUAGGCAUGUCUUUAUUCACUUGAAUGCUGUACAAAUAUUACAUUUCCUUUUGUUGAAAAAAGUAUAAAAAUAAUCUUUAUAUAGG
rnacentral:lncRNA from 1 species